UGCGCAGGCGGGCUUGUAAGUCAGUGGUGAAAUUUUGCGGCUUAACCGUAAAACUGCCAUUGAUACUGCAAGUCUUGAAUAUGGUUGAGGUAGGCGGAAUGUGUUGUGUAGCGGUGAAAUGCAUAGAUAUGACACAGAACGCUGAUUGCGAAGGCAGCUUACUAAGCCAUGAUUGACGCUGAGGCACGAAAGCGUGGGGAGCGAACAGGAUUAGAUACCCUGGUAGUCC
rnacentral:rRNA from 1 species